AACAGGUCUCCUUUAACACGCAAGCUGUUGCAUUAGUCUUAUAGCUUUAUAGCAGUGUUUUAAUGUCGGGUUCGGGUCAGGAUAACACGUGACCUACCUGAGCUCGACAGGACAGGUAUGUUCACAUAGUUUCGCUCGAGUGAAUGCUGAAAGAGGCGCGAUCGAGACUCAGUUACCUGCCGCGCGACUGCAAACCAGUCUCUGCGCACAUUCAGCGGUUUAUUUAUUUCUAACAGCAAGUUUGAUACGUGGUUUAUUUCGUCCGCACGUUUCCAGUAAGCCUCACAGCCGAAAUGGAUGGCGAUUCGCUGUUUGGUGUCUCGGGUCUGAUCAUGGAGAACGGGAUCCGCAGCACCUCCUGGAAUCCUUUCUGUUCAAACCCACAGG